UACGUAGGGGGCAAGCGUUGUCCGGAAUCAUUGGGCGUAAAGCGCGUGUAGGCGGCUCGGUAAGUCCGCUCUGAAAGUCCAGGGCUCAACCCUGGGAUGCGGGUGGAUACUGCCGGGCUCGAGUCCGGAAGAGGCGAGUGGAAUUCCCGGUGUAGCGGUGAAAUGCGCAGAGAUCGGGAGGAACACCAGUGGCGAAGGCGGCUCGCUGGGCCGGUCCUGACACUGAGACGCGAAGGCGUGGGGAGCGAACGGG
rnacentral:rRNA from 1 species